GGCUAAUACAAUUGCAAUAUGUCGCAAAAAUGAAGGAAAAAAGAACUACAUACCAAAAAAUAACAAAGUAACAUUUCAUUUUACGAAAUUGCAAUUACACCCCAAUAGAAUCAGGAACUUGACUAGGGAAGACAACAUUAUCAUAGAGAAGCCCUGCAACUGUGCCUCCAAUUAAGGGUCCAACCCAGUAAACAGCUUGAUUCUUGAACCUUCCAGCAAUGACUGCAGACCCAAAUGCACAGGCAGGGUUCAUUGAGCCACCUGAAAAUGGUCCUGCAGCCAAGACAUUGGCUCCUGCCAUGAGCCCUAUUGCCAAGGGUCCAGUGGCUCCCAGCAAACUGCAUCUAGGGUGGCCGGCAGCGUAAACUGUGUAGACUAAACCAAAUGUUAGCACACCUUAAAACACUGACGCCCCAAAUCCUGUCAUUUCUGCUGCAAUAGUGUAGGUAGGAAGAGACUGCAAAAUUUAAAUACUGUCCAACAAUGGCUACUCUCAAGAGAAGGCAAGCCAUGACAGAAGCCAACAUCUGAGAAAUCCAGUAGAAUAUAGCAGUGGGGACAUUAAUGUGGCCUCCAACGGCCAGACUAAAUGUGACAGCAGGAUUCACAUGCCCACUGGAGACGUUGGCAGCAAUGUACACAGCCGAUGAAAGCGCAAAAGCAUUAGCAAUGGCGACUAUUACCAGACUGGAUGGAUCUGCUCCUGGCAUCAAUUUCUCUGUAUCUUGGAAGAAUCAAGCAUACUCAUUGGAAAUGUUAGCAAGAAGAGAAAUGCAUUCUUAGAAAAUAGAAUUAGCAUAUCAAAUCCUCGAACAAGGAAACCACUACCAAAUUCCCACUCUACUUGCUAGUUUUAUAUUUAGUGAAGUUGUAAAUCAACAACGAGAAUCACUAAGACUCGUGUUAUGCUACAAGAAAGAUGAAAAAUCAAUAAUCCCAUUUGCAUAAAAUAGAAGAAAUUAUUACUGGAGACAUACCUGAAGCCAUGGCAGAUCCAACGACUACAAACACAUAAAAAAUAGUGGAGAUGAACUCUGCAAGAUAUGAUCUUAAAGCGUCGGGAGUAACAGAUUGCUUGAAACGAUCAUUUAGUGAUGUCGGGGCCAUUUUUGCCAAGAAAAACAGAAGAAUGAUAAAUGGAUUUUAUGGCUAAAGAGAACUUGUAAA
rnacentral:misc_RNA from 1 species